rnacentral:rRNA from 1 species
AUUGAACGCUGGCGGCAGGCCUAACACAUGCAAGUCGAACGAGUGGCGGACGGGUGAGUAAUGUCUGGGAAACUGCCUGAUGGAGGGGGCUAACUACUGGAAACGGUAGCUAAUACCGCAUACCAUCGGAUGUGCCCAGAUGUGAUUAGCUAGUAGGUGGGGUAAAGGCUCACCUAGGAGUCGAUCCCUAGAUGGUCUGCGAGGAUGACCAGCCACACUGGAACUGAGACACGGUCCAGACUCCUACGGUAGGCAGCAGUGGGGAAUAUUGCACUAUGGGCUCAAGCCUGAUGCAGCCAUGCCGCGUGUAUGAAGAAGGCCGUCGGGUUGUAAAGUACUUUCAGCGGGGAGGCGUUACCCGCAGAAUAAGCACCGGCUAACUCCGUGCCAGCAGCCGCGGUAAUUC